rnacentral:rRNA from 1 species
GACAGAGGGUGCAAACGUUGUUCGGAAUUACUGGGCGUAAAGCGUGUGUAGGCGGUCCACUAAGUCGGGCGUGAAAGCCCCGGGCUCAACCCGGGAAGUGCACUCGAAACUGGUGGGCUAGAGUAUCGGAGAGGUUGGUGGAAUUCUCGGUGUAGAGGUGAAAUUCGUAGAUAUCGAGAGGAACACCGGUGGCGAAGGCGGCCAACUGGACGAAUACUGACGCUGAGACACGAAAGCGUGGGGAGCAAACAGG